UCAUCCAUCAUUUACCCUCAUCUGUUCUUAUUUCUUUUUCCUUCAACAACACAAAGAGGAGGGAGUGCAAGCCACGAAGAAAAGAAGAGAGGGAAGGGUGGAGAACGAAGAGGAAAAAAAGAGAAGAGGAAGAAGAAGGCACCGUCGGCAAGAAAGGGCGUCGUUGCUGACGUUCUCCUCUUUUGUUGCUGACGUUCAUCUAUUAUGCUUUCUGUUCUGCUUUAUGUUCUGCUUCUCUGUUUCUCUGUUCUACUUCUUGGAGCUCAUCUCUUUCCAGAUCUAUUCAUGUGGUGUCGUUGGUGUGCCGAUCGUGGUGGUAGGUGUUGCUGCCGCCGAGGGGGCGAUGAUACUACUCCGAUGGGGAAGUAGUUCAAGCACGAAAACCCAUGGGUGAAGCAGAAUGCAGAAAAGGCAUGGAGUCGUUCAAGAAGGCGGCAGCGCAUGGGUCACCACUCGCCAUGGUGGACCUCGAUUUGUUCCUGAAAUCGGCGUUCUCUCCUUUUAAGUUUGAAAGAUUGGAUUUUUGAAAUUUUUUUUGUCUUGAAUUUGAACGUGGUGGUAUUGUUGUUGAUGAAUUUUUGAAUUUGAAUGUGGUGGUGUUGUUGUUGUUGGAUUUUUGAAUAUGAAAUUGAAUGUUGGUAAUGUUGUUGUUGAUUU